AUUAGUAAUGGGAUCAAGGCCUUAUAGUAAAGGAAUUUGUGAAGGUAUAGAAACAGUACUAAAAAGUAUGAAGGCAGGUGGAAAAAGAAGAGUGAUAAUUCCUCCAAAUUUGGGAUUUGGAGAAGAAGGAGCAGAUUUAGGAACAGGGCUGCAAAUUCCUCCAUCUGCUACUCUUGAGUAUGUUGUUGAAGUUGAAAAAGUUUCUAUUGCACCUGCUUGAUUGAAGGUAUACAAAUAAAUAGUAUAACUUCAAGUGUUUGCUACUAAAGGAAAAUGCAAAACAGUUGAUUCUUGUACUGUUCUUUAGUUGACAAGAAAGAUGUGUGGAAGUUUGAUU
rnacentral:lncRNA from 1 species